CCUGACCAUUUGAUUUUUCCUUCUUUUCCCCCCUUUUUUUUUUAUCAAGUGCCCCUUGGCAAUUAUUAUCCUACCUGACCGUUUGCUCUUUUUUUUUCUUCUCUCUUUUCGGCUCAGGCAUUUCUUUUUUUCUUUUUUUCUCUUUUUUCUCUUUUUUUUUUGUUUGCAGGAUCAACUUUGAUUCCUCUGAUUUAUUCACAACAAGCCUCGGUAGCUUGAUGAACAGCACUCCAUAAGUGCACUGAUUCGGGCUCAACAGUGUGAGUUAUCUCAGCCGGCCGAUCAACUUGCCCCUGUCUACCGGAUGCCCCUGUUCUGCUUGGGACUUUGUCAUCAUGUCCUCAACAUGGUAUUCGCUUUCAUGAUGAAUCAUAUCAUGAAACAAAGUCACCGUAGACCUCUGAUACAUGGCACCGGCCUCUUGCGACUGAACGACAUCUCCU
rnacentral:lncRNA from 1 species